rnacentral:rRNA from 1 species
GAGCCGGAAGGUGAAAGAUUUAUCGCCUAGAGAUGAGCUCGCGUCUGAUUAGCUAGUUGGUGAGGUAAAAGCUUACCAAGGCGACGAUCAGUAGCUGGUCUGAGAGGAUGAUCAGCCACACUGGGACUGAGACACGGCCCAGACUCCUACGGGAGGCAGCAGUGGGGAAUUUUCCGCAAUGGGCGAAAGCCUGACGGAGCAAGACCGCGUGGGGGAGGAAAGCCUUUGGGUUGUAAACCCCUUUUCUCAGGGAAGAAGAAAGUGACGGUACCUGAGGAAUCAGCCUCGGCUAACUCCGUGCCAGCAGCCGCGGUAAUACGGAGGAGGCAAGCGUUAUCCGGAAUGAUUGGGCGUAAAGCGUUCGUAGGUGGCCCUUCAAGUCUGCUGUCAAAGACGGGAGCUCAACUCCUGAAAGGCAGUGGAAACUGAAGAGCUGGAGUGCGGUAGGGGCAGAGGGAAUUCCCGGUGUAGCGGUGAAAUGCGUAGAGAUCGGGAAGAACACCGGUGGCGAAAGCGCUCUGCUGGGCCGCAACUGACACUGAGGGACGAAAGCUAGGGCAGCGAAUGGGAUUAGA